GAUCAACGCUGGCGGCGUGCCUAAUGCAUGCAAGUCGCACGGGGUGGCCUUCGGUGGCUUACGUGGCGGACGGGUGAGGAACACGUGGGUAACCUGCCCGGUGGUGGGGGCGUAGCCUUCGGAAACGGAGGGUAAUUCCGCAUAAGCUGGUCACUCGAGUGGGAGUGGUCAGGAAAGCGCGCGAGCGCGCCGCCGGAGGGGUCUGCGUCCGAUUAGCUGGUUGGUGGGGUAACGGCUCACCAAGGCGAUGAUCGGUAGCUGGUUUGAGAGGAUGAUCAGCCACACGGGGACUGAGACACGGCCCCGACUCCUACGGGAGGCAGCAGCAAGGAAUUUUCCGCAAUGGGCGCAAGCCUGACGGAGCAACGCCGCGUGCGGGAUGACGCCUUUCGGGGUGUAAACCGCUGUUCGGUGGGGACGAAGCACUGACGGUACCCACGGAGGAAGGCCCGGCUAACUACGUGCCACGCCGCCGC
rnacentral:rRNA from 1 species